AGAUAUGACAUUUACAUUUUUGUUUUUAUAUGUAGGUUUUGGCGGUAGAGGCAUUCUGCCAGGUGUAGCCACAGGAUCACAAACUGGGCAGCUUGGUCAAGGUGCACUUGGAGCUAAUGGUAAAAUAAGUAACUGAAAGAACAGUCCUUUCAAUAAAAGUUAUGAAAACUACUUCUAACAGAGCUCACUUAUCUUUUCUCUUUCAGGAGGCCGUGGAGGAUUUGGUCAACAAAUACCAGGCGUGUUCCGUGGAUAUCCUCUUAUAUCACCAAAGUCUGGAGGUUCAAGUGCUGCUAAGUCUCAGGCUAAAGCUGCCAAGUAUGGGGCUGGUGGUGUUCCGGGUCUCGGUGGUGGGCUUGGAGGUAUACCUGGUGCAGGUGGUAUACCAGGUGCAGGUGUUGUUCCAGGCAUAAGUGGCAUACCUGGUGCAGGUGGUGUGCCAGGAAUAGGCGGUGUUGCAGGUGCAGCUGGUGUUCCAGGUGUCGGAGUCAUUCCUGGAGCUAG
rnacentral:lncRNA from 1 species